GGCCAGCAUCAGUUUUGGGGACCGGUCAAAGGCCCCGGGAAUGUAUCGUCUCCUUCGGGGGACGACUUAUAGCCCGGGGUGUCAUGCGGCCUCCCGGGACUGAGGAACGCGCUUCGGCGAGGAUGAUGGCGUAAUGGUUGUCAGCGA
rnacentral:rRNA from 1 species